AUUGAACGCUGGCGGCAGGCCUAACACAUGCAAGUCGAACGAGUGGCGGAGGUGUGAGUAAUGUCUGGGAACCUGCCUGAUGGAGGGGGAUAAAUACUGGAAACGGUAGUUAAUCCCGCAUACCAUCAGAUGUGCCCAGAUGGGAUUAGCAAGUGGGUGGUGUAACGGCUCACAAAGGCGACGAUCCCUAGCGGGUCUGAGAGGAUGACCAGCCCCAAUGGAACUGAGAAACGGCCCAGACUCCUACGGGAGGAAGCAGUGGGGAAUAUUGCACAAGGGGCGAAAGCCUGAUGCAGCCAGGCGGCUUGUAGGAAGAAGGCCUUCGGGUUGUAAAGUACUUUCAGCGGGGAGGCGGUACCCGCAGAAGAAGCACCGGCUAACUCCGUGCCAGCAGCCGCGGUAAUAC
rnacentral:rRNA from 1 species